CCCUGAUGCACAAGGUACUUUAAUAAACUAUUUUUAUUUUAAUUUUUUCAAAAUUUUCUUUUUUCCUUUUCAGUAAAAUAAUUUUUUAUUAUUUUUAUAUAAUAUACAAAUUUAAUAAAACUUUUUUUAAAUAAAUCUUUUUAGAAAAUAAAUAUAAAAAA
rnacentral:rRNA from 1 species